CAUGGACGCAGAAGCAGCGCUGCUGCCCGCCGCCGCCCGCCGAACUACCACGGAUGUCGCCAUGAUCAGCGACCAUGAACAGCAGCCACAAUCGAGAAGGAUGGAGACGUGGAGCUGAAGCUGGCCAGAGUAGUAACCAUGGUGGUCUUCUUUGUCUACGUCUUGGUGGUUUAGGGGUAACGUGCUGAUUCUUGAUGAUGGGGAUCAGCACCUGGACCUGCAACUGAUGGGACCAGCAGUGGCUGAUCAUCUCCACCAUACCACCCGUGUGCCAAGGAGAAGGGAGCGAAGUUUAGGAGCUCCAUGUUAGCUCCAGAUCGAAGAAAGAUGAAACCUGAAGCCCCACAAAGAAAAGAGUAGCUACUUAUAAUAGUGCCAGUUAUAUUGUAGUAAGCAAAUCUGGUUCUGUGAACAAUGUGUAAAAGACUACUAUCGUAAUUUUGGCUACUAUUUCUGGAAUUUCGUAUGUGCUCUUAUUCUGUUUGAAAAUUUUGU